UAGUAACAAGAGCAGAGGUAUCAGGAACAGUGGUGAAGGUAGGCAGUACGAGCAGUGAAGUGGGUUAGAAGUCCGUAAUUCAGAAGGAAUGGUGAAGAGUGAUUUGAGUCAUACUGAGUUGUAGGCAAAUUCAACGGUGGUGAGCAGGGUUUUCCAGUUGGACUGUAUGUGCGUGGUGUAGCAACUAAGAUAAGUGUAACAGAACUAUGAUUUUUCCCAUGCUUUUUGUCUGGACUUAAAUAACAACGCUGCUGGAUGUAUCACACAAAAACCGAAUGGCUAUUCGCGUGCGCAUACCUGGAU